rnacentral:lncRNA from 1 species
UGGGAUCAAAUAUUAAACUAUGAAUAAUUUUAAUGUUAUAUAAAUAAAACCUUUCGUCAUUGUAUUACACGAAUUGAAAAAUAAAAAUUAAAAAAAAAGUUAAAAAAAGUAGUGUUAAAAAUGAAAAAUUGAAAUAAGAUAUGAUGUUAUGAGGCUUGUAUUGAAAAUGACGAAGGUGCAGUUGAAGUGAGUAGUUGAGAAAUGAAAAUGGUAAUUAGAAAGCAUUAAAUGGGCGGCUUUGAGUUAGUGGUACAUGCAAUGCUGGAAUCCAUCCAACAUCAACAUUGUGGCACAUGUGCGGGGCUCUUCUCCAACAAAUAUCAUAAAUCAUCACUUCAAUACUCAUUUACUCUUUCUAUAACUUUCACCAUUUCAUUCCUCCUUAUACUCGGAUAACAUCCUAUUUAGUACAAGACUCACAAAUAGAUUAAAUGAAAAUAAAAAAC